UACAGAGGGGGCAAGCGUUGUUCGGAAUUACUGGGCGUAAAGGGCGCGUAGGCGGCCUGCUAAGUCGAACGUGAAAUCCCCGAGCUCAACUCGGGAACUGCGUCCGAUACUGGCAGGCUUGAAUCCGGGAGAGGGAUGCGGAAUUCCAGGUGUAGCGGUGAAAUGCGUAGAUAUCUGGAGGAACACCUGUGGCGAAAGCGGCGCACUGGACCACAACUGACGCUGAGGCGCGAAAGCUAGGGGAGCAAACAGG
rnacentral:rRNA from 1 species